rnacentral:rRNA from 1 species
UACGAAGGGGGCUAGCGUUGCUCGGAAUUACUGGGCGUAAAGCGCACGUAGGCGGCUUUCUAAGUCGGGGGUGAAAUCCUGGAGCUCAACUCCAGAACUGCCUUCGAUACUGGAGAGCUCGAGUCCGGGAGAGGUGAGUGGAACUGCGAGUGUAGAGGUGAAAUUCGUAGAUAUUCGCAAGAACACCAGUGGCGAAGGCGGCUCACUGGCCCGAUACUGACGCUGAGGUGCGAAAGCGUGGGGAGCAGACAGG